AGAAGAACUAGUCUUUGCAAAACGGGAUUGCUUUGCUUGGUUUUGUAGGGGAGUGGUGAACUGAAACGUAAGGUCGUGAAGCGUAGUAAACUAGAGGACAGAGAGCUGCUGGAGCUUGCCCAAGGAUACCACAAAGUGGUUGCAGAAAGGGAUGCAGGUGAGCUUAUGAUGUGAAAUUAUGAUUGCUAUAUACUUGCUCUCCAACAGUUAAAUGUAGUGGAUGGAUCCGUCCCUUAAAUCAUCACCAGCAAAACAUAACAUGUAUACUUUGUUUAGUUGGAUGGAUGCCUUCUAAUGUUCAUGUAAUAAUUAAGUAAUGUUAAUUGAAUUUCCAGCCUGGACUGAUUAGCAUAGAUAAUUCAGUGUCAUUAAAAAUCAUGUACAACUUGAUUACUUUGCAUUUGAACUGUUGCACGCACAAUGUGCUCCUAGAAUUUAUCUACCUAACAUUUGUCGUCUACGUUUGGGUCCUUGCAACCAUUGCACUGAAUCUCUUUGUAGGUAGUUUCAGCGUCGAAACAAAAUCCUAAAGGUAUGUUCCAUAGUUGUCAUGGCGUCGGGAUAUCGUCGUCAUAAUGCCGAUAUAUCGGCGCGGAGGAGAACGGUGUCUCGCCACAGGGAUGCCAUGAUUUUGUGCGUUGUGGCGGGCGCAAUAGAGGGAGAGGGGUACCUAUAUAAUCGAGGCCGACUCCGUCCGGCGUCCACCUCUCUUGUUUGGAUCUGCGUUCGCCGCCCGUGCUCGGUGCAGAUCCAGUGGGAGCAGGCGACACAGGGAGGGCGGAGGGAGCAAGCGGUGCAGAGAGGGCGUAGGCGACACGGGGAUCGAGGAGGGUGGAGGGGCUAGAGUAAGUAGAAGGGUGGCUGGGUUGGCUUAUAUGGGCCAAAUUUGUGUAUUCUUCUUUUCUUUCUUUUUUCUUUUUUAUAUAUACUUUGAGAGAUAAUGUGUAUUAGGAAAAAGUAUUGAAAGGUAUGUAUUCGCCACGCCGAUGUGUGUAUGGCGUCGCCAUGCUGCGCACCAUAGGCAUUGUAAAGUUGUGAAGGUGGUGGGUCGCCGCGCCUUGCCAUGUCAUUGUAACAACUAUGGAAGAGUGCCAAAGGGUGUCCACAGAGGGGCAGAACAUGCGUAUGGAAUUGUCUGACAAAUUCAAUAAUGCUAUAAAGGAUGUGAACAUCAAGCUUGAGGAGCAAAAAAAUGAAUGCAUCGCUCAGCUAGAAGAGAACAAUUUGUAAGAUACUAAGCUUAGGCAUAUCUUGAACAUUAGGGGUUUCAUUAGUUGAUUGUAUUAGCAACUCCAUUAGUGCAAGUCCCUUCUGACUUUUGUACAGGCACGAUAGUUCUCACUAGCUUUAUAUGCUGUUGUGGUGCUGUGGGUAAACUUGUUAUGAUAUAUAUAGUUGAAAGAGAAGAUGCUGGAACUUGAGCUUGCUGAUUUGAAAAUUCAACAACAUCAAGAGAAGGCCGCUCAGGAACAUACCCAAAUGAAGUUAUAUGCUGAGCAAGUUUCUCAAAUUAUCACUACUGAGAAGAACCUACGGUUGCAACUAGCUGCUGAUGAAGAAAGAUUUUAGCAGUUUCAGGUGAAUUUUUAAAAUUUCAAGUAAUUUAAAAUUUUCUGCUAUAACAUUUCAUGACGCCCUGUCAAAAAGCAAUGAAGUCUUUGAAACUUACAAGCAGGAGAUGGAAAAGAUGGUGACAGUGAUAAAGAAUCUAAAGAAGGAGAAUGAAUUUUUGAAGGGAAAAUGUGAGAACUCAGAUAUUGCUCUCGUAAAGCUCAUUGAAGAGGUAAUUGUGCUGAAACAGGGUGCUCUAUUGAGACUACAGCUUUCUAUAACUAUAUCUGCCUACCUUUUUAGCAUUUCACAUUGAUCUCCUUUACCAUGUAUGAAUAACUACCCUUGAUUUUCUAGCUUAUACAGUUUCAUUUAUCUUCAUAUGCAUACUAGGGAAAUCUUGUGCCAGUUGAUCUUGCAUAAUAUGUAAGCUGUUUCUGCUAAUUUCGAUGUUUCUGUAGAGUGAGCUAACGAAGAAUUCAAAUAGAGAGGUCGAAAAAUCAAAAGAAGCUUGAAUAACUGUGUCAAUCGUUACAGGCAGAAAGGAAACAUGACCCUUCCGGCGGUAUUCCUGACGCCAUUUCUAAACAAGCAGAUCUGACAAUGGAUCGUGAAGGAUCAUAGUGCUUUAUGUGCUUCAUGUUGUGCAUGCCAAAAUACCAUUGCUGCCGCAUAUAGCUUGCCGAGGUUUCUGAACCUUGAGAAACGGAUAUGUGACUUCUAUGAAAGGAGAUCGUCUAAGGUAGUUAUACCGUGACGUGACCGCUGAUAUGUGGACUAACUUUUAGUGAGCUUUACAUGUCAACAACGAAGUCAUCCCAUACAGUUACAUCACAUGAACCACUUCCGACUUUUAUCCUGCUUUGCUCGUGAUCUUUUAGUGUUCUGGACACGUUUGUCACAGAUUGAGCUAUCGACCUACAUGUCUUGCUGUUCCAGAGUACGGAGGGCUUGAUACUUGUCCAUCUGUGGCGUUUUGAGAUUGUAGCCAGAGGUGCAUUCCUCCACAGCAUGCUAGUGACUUGCUAUUACUACAGGCAUAUCAACCUCGACUGAUUCUUCCUUCGUGGGUGCUUAUCAAUUUAUUGGUAUUCGUGAAGAGAAAAUAGAGAUAAUCCCGUCCUGAAGGGAAUGAUCUUGAAAAUUCCUUCGUGACGGGAACCAUAAAGGAAAACCGUUGAAAUGCUGAAGAGAAGGAAAAUCCCUUCGUGAAAAGAUUCUAGAUCCUGACGGAAAUCGGUUGUAGAUGGUCUUAAGAAGUAAUCCCAUGAGUCCAUGAUUGGUAAGCUGGUCUGUACUCCGCUUAUAGCGAGGUUGCACUGCAUUCCGUUUCAACCACGCACUAUUACUGUUCUUUAACCUCCCCUCACGGGAGCCAAAACUAACAUAAAGUCCUCAAACAAGUUACUUCCUCGGAUCCAAAAUAUAAGUUGUUUUAGCCUUCCAUACCCUUCAUCAAAUAUAAGUUGUUUUAGCUUUCCACUUAUACGCUUAUCUGACUUUUGUUAGUAAAGGGUCAAUAAUAGAAGGUGUA